GUGAAGAAUUUUCCGCAAUGGGCGAAAGCCUGACGGAGCAAUGCCGCGUGAAGGAUGAAGGCCUAUGGGUUGUAAACUUCUUUUCUCAGAAAAGAAUUAUGACGGUAUCUGAGGAAUAAGCAUCGGCUAACUCUGUGCCAGCAGCCGCGGUAAGACAGAGGAUGCAAGCGUUAUCCGGAAUGAUUGGGCGUAAAGCGUCUGUAGGUUGUUUAAAAAGUAUUCUGUCAAAGAUUAGGGCUUAACCCUAGAUAGGCAGAAUAAACUUUUAAGCUAGAGUUUGGUAGAGGCAGAGGGAAUUCCCGGUGGAGCGGUGAAAUGCGUAGAUAUCGGGAGGAACACCAAAGGCGAAGGCACUCUGCUGGGCCAAUACUAACACUGAGAGACGAAAGCGAGGGGAGCAAAUGGGAUUAGAUACCCUAGUAGUCC
rnacentral:rRNA from 1 species